GACGUAGGGUGCGAGCGUUGUCCGGAUUUAUUGGGCGUAAAGAGCUCGUAGGCGGCUUGUCGCGUCGACCGUGAAAACUUGGGGCUCAACCCCAAGCCUGCGGUCGAUACGGGCAGGCUAGAGUUCGGUAGGGGAGACUGGAAUUCCUGGUGUAGCGGUGAAAUGCGCAGAUAUCAGGAGGAACACCGGUGGCGAAGGCGGGUCUCUGGACAGUUCCUGACACUGAGGCACGAAGGCCAGGGGAGCAAACGGG
rnacentral:rRNA from 1 species